rnacentral:misc_RNA from 1 species
UGGUCCUCACUCGCCAACAAUUGAAUUUGACCACUUAUAACAAUGGCUGAUCCAGAGAAGGGAACAACGGCAGAAGCACCACCACCACCACCACAACCCGCUGCUGCUGCAGAGGAAGAGAUGACAGAAGAAGAAAUGGAAGAGGUAGAGGAGGAAGAGGGUGGUGAGCGCAAGGAGCUGGUAGACAAACUAAUGAAGGAUCCUCAGGUGCUGGCUGCCCUCCAGACCAAACUCCGUCGCUUCCUUGGCACUCCCUCGGGUUACAUUAGUUCUUUACCACUAGCAGUGAAGAGACGUAUAAAGGCAUUAAAAAAGCUGCAGCUCCAAUAUACUGACUUAGAGGCAGAAUUCUACAAAGAAGUUCAUGCUUUAGAGGUUAAGUAUGACGCGAUGCACCAAGCCUUGUACGAGAAACGAAAACUGGUUGUGAACUCCGAAUAUGAACCAAAUGAUGAUGAUUGUGAUUUCCCUUCAGAUGAUGAAGAGGAGGAAGAUAAAGCUCUUAGUAAAGACAUGGAAGAAAAGGCAAAAAUAGAUGAAAAAGAAGAACCAAAGGUGCACGAUUUUGAUGAAAACACAAAAGGCAUCCCAGAGUUCUGGCUGACUAUCUUCAAGAAUGUCGACCUACUAGCAGAGAUGGUUCAAGAUUAUGAUGAACCCAUUUUGAAGCAUUUAACAGAUAUUCAGCUGAAGUUCCAUGAUGAGCCAAUGGGCUUCACUCUAGAGUUUCUCUUCAGUGAAAACGAGUUCUUCACGAACAAGGUUUUAAUAAAGCAUUACGAGAUGAAAUGUGUUCCAGACAAAGAUGAUCCCUUUGGAUUUGAGGGGCCAGAAAUUUUUAAAUGCAAGGGAUGCUCCAUAGACUGGAAAAAGGGCAAAAAUGUAACUGUUAAAACAAUAAAGAAGAAGCAGAAGCAUAAAUCUCGUGGGGCAGUUAGAACUAUAACUAAAACUGUGCAGAAUGAUUCCUUCUUCAACUUCUUCAAUCCUCCACCAGUUCCCGAGGACCCGGAUGAAGAUAUGGAUGAAGAUACCCAGGCUUUAUUGACGGCCGACUUUGAAAUCGGUCACUAUAUCCGUGAGCGAAUUGUUCCCAGAGCAGUCCUCUUCUAUACGGGCGAAGCAUUAGAUGACGAAGAUUUUGAAGAGGAAGAGGGAGAGGAAGGUAUGUGAUUUAACUACGGAUGGAAGGGCUGAUUUGAUCAAUGGUCUCCUUUCAUUCAAAUCUGGAGAGGAAGGUGAUGAUGAUGAGGAAGAGGAUGAUCCAGAUUAUGAUCCAACAAAAGAGAAGGUAGCAAAGGGUCAGCCGCCAGAGUGUAAACAGCAGUGACCAUCUAGUAAAAUCUAGGCCUUUCUUCAAUGACCUAAAGUAGCAACAUCUGGGGCCUUUAAUUAACAUCUAUAGUGGCAUGAAUAUGCUGUAUGGUUGUAUGCAAGUGGCGGUUUGAAAAGUACCAUUGCAUAGGGAGUUCAAAAAUGUUGAAACUGGUUUACUUGACAUGUGCAAGAUUUCUAUGAAGCUAAUUAUGCAGUAGGAUAUAUUUCCAGCUGUGGAGUGUUCUUGCAUUUUAGAUUUGUGUAGGAAUAUAUAUUUUUUCUUGAUAUGAAAGAAUUGCAUAGUGGAUUAUGUUGAAUGCUCAGUCCCCCAGAGUUGCUGAAUACCCGAUGUAACUAGUAAUUUUUCAGUAUGGACAAUUAUUUAAUUAGAUCUCUUCAUAUACCUUAAUUAAAAUUUGUUUCAAAAGAAUUGUUAGGUUGAUGCCUAUAAAUAAGUUGUCCAUACAUAUGGUUUAAGUUGUUGGGAUAAGUCUACGACUGUUAGUCCGUUAUGAGACUAGCAACGUAGGAUCUCUAGCUUCAUCCAUAAGGGUACUCCAAAAUUCUCUAAAUGUGAUAUAAUGCAUAUGAAUCAUUCUUUGCACUUUUCUGUAAUCAGUUGAGAUUUAUAAGUUUUAGGUUAAUGAGGAAUUAUUUUUUACCAGUCACUGCAUUACUCAGAGCUUUAACAAUGUAUUUGAUGGCUGUUACGUUGCACUGAUGUCCCAGAUUCUCUGGAUAUUUUGGUCAUGUAAAAACAAAAGUUCCAGAGAAUAUUAGUUGGAGGGAUUUACAGAGGUAUUACAUUGUCCUGUUACAGGAGUUCAUUAGUGAAAUUUUAAUGAGGCUCUUAUUUACAUGGGUGUUAAUUGCCUAAUAAAGUAUGGAUAAAUGGUGUAAUGAGUAUGCUUGGUAAAUAAUUGUAAUAGCUUUGUUACCACUACUGCUAAUAUAUAUAUAUGCUCCUUUUCCAACAACUGUUUCUCUACCCUAUCCUUGUGUUUUGUCUUGUCUGCAGGAGUUUUCUUAAAUGUCAAUGUCCUGCACUUGUCCUUUGUGAAAUAAAAGUCCUAUUUAUUGAAUAUUCCCUUUGUCUCUAAAGCCUUCCGUUCACAAUUUGUCUGCUUAAAUUUCUGCAGCUUUGGCAGAAUGCUGCUAGUUUUUUAUUCUUGCAUUAAUGAAAAGAUUUUAUGUUCCUUCUAAAUAUACUAUUAGUCUCAUUUAAAGCAGGAUGUUACACCAUUGUCUUGCAUUACAGGAGAUAAAAUGGUAAAAAUGCAGUUUUUGCUGUAUUUAAAAUAGGGCAAAUGGGUGUCAGAUUUACUAGAGCAAAUACUCAUAUUGCAGGAAUUAAUGCACUGAAGAAUCUUGAUAUACUGUACUAUAAAUGUCUGCUGUUUCAAAGUCUAGUGACAAUUGCCAGACUCCUAUACACACACACUGGUGCAAUAUGAUUAUUUUGCUUUCUAUUGUAGCCUUUUUCAUGUUUUAAGCAAUAUAAUGCUUUACCACGUUUUGAACUGAUCAUUUUCCAGUACAAUGGUUAAAUUUGCACGUUCUAAAUUUUCUUAGAUAUUGGCUUUGAUGUAACUGCCCUUCUGACUAAAGCCUUGAUGUAACCACUGUUGGUUUUCGUGAUUGUCAUUAGGUUCGUAUCUCGCACAGGCCUAAAUAGCAAGUUUAACUAUUGAUAGUCUUGUGUUCUAACUUUAAACUCCAGCACGUGACUAAUCAGUAGAGUAAUAGUUUCCUGUGUUGAUACAUUUGAUGUUAUAAGUUUUGUAAGAACCCUUUAAACCUGAUGCUUUGAUUAUAUUUUAAAUGUUGCAUCUUGUGAAGUCAAAUGGCUGCAAACAAGUCUUUCAGAAACUUUUUUGGCUUGACACAUGCGCUGCUGGUGAGACUAGAAAACAUUAACAUAAACAUAAAACCAGUAUAUACUUUCGAUCAUUAAUAGGUAUCUACUGCUAACAUUAGUUGGUUUACGCUUCAAAAAAAAUGACGGCUUUGAGCUUGCCUUCUUUCAUAAGAUAAAUGUCACUUGCCUUGUACUGUCAGCAUGUAAUGCAUGUAUUAGUGUGCCAUUUUCAAGACCCUAAAACUGCUUGUUUGCAUCUUUCUACAGCUGAAGGAUCUUAUUUGGGGGGAGGGGGCGGGGGUGGCAGUUGACAAUAUCUGGGAAAUGCCUUCAUGCAAAAAUUUGAUACUGUUUAAUUUGUAUCAUUUUGAAAAUACCAAUUUUUAUAAUGUGUGAUUUAGUCCCCAAAUGCCUUGCAACAUCUUUUAGUCCAACACUUUAUAUGAUGACCUUAAUGGUAAUUUUUCUUUUGAUGGUAAUUAACUUUGUUGAACAAAUUAUCAUCCAUAUUAAAGUUCAAAUAAAAUUGGUAUAAAUGGGUGAAUUUCACGCUUUAUAGUACUAUGUAUAAAUUUAUCCAAAUUUUCCUAAUUGUUCCUUGAAAAGUACUAGCUGGAAACUUAUCAGGGCUGAUAAGUUGUUACUGUAUGACUCCCCCCCCCCCCCUUGUGCCUGUAUUGUGUUAAUUUCUAAUCAAGUUAUGUAUGUCAAAAUUUAUACAUUUUCAGCAACCAGAUAUUACUAGUUUUCUGGGAAGUGGUGUGAAAUACACUGAAAUAAUGUUUGAGGUGGUGGGUAGGAGAGGCACCUGCUGGUCAGCUGCCUCUUAGAUGCCUCGGUAAAUUAUACAUUUAACAUUUUACAUUCUUGGAUUUUUGCAUUUCUGAACAUUUUUUCUCAAAUGUUUUAAGAUAUAUAGGAUAGGAUCGUGUGGAUUCAAGUUCCAACUGGAUUCUAAUGUAAAGUGUAGCAGCUAUUUUCAGGAGUGAUACAGUCUGCCAUCACAUGAGCACUGGGGUGAUGCAUAUCUGGUGUCAUUAAUAGUCUUGUUAAACAGUGUAUCACUAUCUUUUGACUAUUGAUAUACCUUGGGAGAUUUAUUUGGACAUGCUAAUUACUAUAUUUUAACUUGGAUUCUUAAGUAAUGAAGACCUGCAGUUUUUGUCCUAAUUUUUGGGGGAUGGGGAAAUUUUGCUUUCCUGUUUUUAGUCAUGUUCCCCUCAGUGUAUCUGAUUACUCGUCUUAUUUGCUCUCGUACUUCCUAAUUGAUGUACUGUAUUGGGCUUUUGAAUAUGUAAAUUGUGCUGUGGUUUUGGAAGCUCGGCACUACCUGGUCAUCCGAGAAACUCCACGUUUCAAGUAGCUGGAUACGUGUAGGUCCUUAAAGUCCUUCUGGAUAAAGGUCCACUUGUUAGUUAUCUAAUUUAGCUUCUAAUUUUUUAUUUAUUCAUAACUGAUAUAUUUACAUGUAUAAAACUUGCCAUGCUAAUUGUCAGCUUUAUAUGCUAUAAAUUAUUCAGAACUUGCAUACAAUUAACAAAAGUACUGUACCAUUAUUUAAUCAUAGGGAAGUCAUCUUUUUGAAAAGGUAAAUGUGAUCACUUUUGCACUAUUUAUAAUAGCAUUUUCUUAAGUUUGCAUUGCUCCAACAAUUCUAUAAGAAGGAACAUUCUUUUCAUGGGAAGUUUUCAAUACCGCUAAAAGUCUCCCAUUUAAUAUUCCAUCUGUCCUCCAAUAUUUUAUUUAUUUGUUUUUAAUAAAUUUUUAUUUUGUAUUGUAGGUUUGAAAGCUUUCGACCGUUAUUCAUGCCUCCAUCCUUGCCCACUGGCAGAGUUGUUGAUCUGUUAUUGGUAACAAACUGCGUACUCUUAAGAGUCGUGUGGAUUUCCUCCUACCACCGUAAUCGGCUCUGGCAAGGUUGCAUAUCGGCCAUACAUGCUUAACUCAUGGACACUUAAUGGAGUGCCACCCUGCUCCUUAUUGUCUAAACUGCAUUGGCCCUCUGUCGUGCAUAUCCUAGAGAAUGUGACUUUCAGGACGAGCGUGUCUUUUUUUUUCCGACCGUCCCUCGAUAGAGUUCUUGGUGAAUCGGAUACUUUUGAUACUGUUCGCUUUAUGCGUUUUUCAUAUUGGCAUCCUUAGUAAUAUUUAGUGCCCUCUGAUUAUUCCGCACAUUUUAUGGUGCUACACAGCCUUUUUGGCUUAGUGCCUUCUUUUGAUAAUUACUUACAUGCAACCAUUGGAAUUGGCCCUUCCCAUUUUUCAAAAUCCAAUAUUGGAUAUUCAUCUUUAUAAGGCAGUAAUUUUGCUGGGUUCCCAAAAAUAUUGGCAUUAGCUCCUAAUGAUAUAACAAAUUUUGUCGCUCAAGCCAUUUGUGCUCUUCCUGCCUAGAACUUCCCUACUCUGAUUUCUCCCAUUAUUUGCUCUAUUGUCUUCCCGGCUUGGUGCCAUCUUUUCAUAAUUGUUAUUCAGGAUGCAUUUUGCAACUGUUAGCGAGAAAUGCUUAUGAAGCCCUGGUCUGCUUCCUUGAUGACUUUGCCAUCCUUGUGGCAUAGUGGUAACUCAGAGCCCCAACCAGGGAGAAUUGACUGGGCAUCUAUACUUAACUGUUCAAACCGCAGUAAUUGGAGACCUGGUUAUAAACCAAUUUGUGGAUUAUAUUCCAGGGGAAACCUAAUAGGGUAGAGCUAAAUGUAAGCUAGGAGAAGCAGCUCUAUGCCUGCUAAGAGUUAUUAUUGCUUUCCAAUUUUCUGGCUAUUGUCACAGCAUCAUUCUCCCCAGUUCUUGGUUCAUCUGUGCUAGGAUUUUUCAUAUACAGCAUUAUGGUGGGUAAUCCAUUUUGACUAUGUUCGUGUGUGUGUUCGUAUCUCUGGCUAUGCGUGUUCAGGGAUUGUGGCAGUCUAACUGGGUGAUGGCUAUGCAUUUUCUAUCCACCCUCGCUAUGCUUAUGUGGCACUUGGGCAAGUGUUUUGGUGCUACUCUGUGAUUCAUCUUUCCAGGCUUGGUGCCUUGAUUAAAUUAAUUACCAGGUCCUGCCUUUCUUUUCUUUUCCAUAGAUCAGUGUUCUCAAGUUAUUUUGUUUAAUUAUAAUGUGUACAGUAUUGAGGGGGAUAACUUGAGAGUCGGCACAUAUUGUUGAAUGUACUGUAUUAUGAUGGUACUUUUUGUGCAAAACCCUCAUUGGCUUCCCUUUCUCACCCUUUUGAUGGGCAUGUGAAGAUGGCACAAAGAUUAUCUGGUCUAUCAGUUUACAUGUUUUCUAAAGUUUUGUACAUUGUCUCCACAUGUUUUGUGACAUUCAUUUGCUUUGGUGUAGGUUGUUUUAGAUCUCUAAACUUUUCCUCCCUUAAGGAUACCUAAGUUUUAUAUAUUGUUGCAAAGAGACAUAAGAAAGUGGAUAAUUUCACAAUAAUAAACCAGUGAUUUCUUUCAAAUCGGCUAGUGAUGGAUUAUUGCUUGAUCACUUAAUGUUUUUUUUUUUUUUUUUUUAAUUAAAAUUGUCUAUAUUAAUUAAAGUACAUUUUUGCAUUACAUUAAAGCCCUACGAUACAACAAUUAAUAUUACUGCUGUACGGUAGGUCUGACCUACUAGGCUUCAACCAGUUCCAGUCCUGGUUUGGACUUGACAUUGUACACUUGAGAAAUGUAAAAUUGAAAGCUGGUGUAAUAUUGUGUGUAGGUUUGCCUGGUGUGAUUUAGUCCACAUAGCCACACGUGUUGCUUAUUGGUCACUAGUGUGCGUGUAUCACUGCCAAUGUCUGCAUUAACACCCUUCUCUUGUUAUUUUCUUUAUUGAAUUGGAAUUAUAAUUGAGCUUAAUAUGUAGCUUUAUCUCAACUUCUUAUCCAGAGUUAGAUUUGAUUCGUUUCUGAUGUGCAAGAUUCUUUGGCUCUUGGUUUUUGUAAUGACAGCUUCCAAGCUGUAUACCUUGUGUGCAUUGUUUAUACCACUUUCCUUCUCAUGCCUGGUCAUUUUACCCAUAUUACUGUUGAAAAUAUAUUUGCAGAUAUGUAUUUUCCCAAUUGUUUUACUUCCAUUUGUUAACAAAGUUCCUUAACUAUCUCAUUUCUUACUUUUCUUGUUAUAGACUUAUACUGUAAUUGUUUGCUCUAAAUCAGUGGUUCUUAACCUUUUUUUUUGAGUCAUGGACUACUUUGAAGGUCUGGUGAAUGCUAUGGAAAAUCCUCCCUAGAAAAGUGCACGUAAACUGCAUACAAUGAAUAUACUUUGUUAUUAAAAAUUGAUAUUCUCGUAUAAUGUAUGACAGCACAAAAUAUAAAUAAACAUCUAUGGACCCCAGGUUAAGAACCCUGCUAUUAAUGGUACAUGACAAUAGACUUGUUUUAUUUUUUUUUGGGGGGGGGGGGGGACAGGACCGAUGUAUUUCCCUACACAGCUUAGUUAUAUACAUGUGCUUAACAUCUCAAAAUGUAUGGAUAUGUAUUAACCCUUGCUUGGUAUCUGAAUUGCACUUAUUUUAGAGAAAGAAUUUUCUACAGGUGUGUACAGUGCUAAUAUGUCUGCAGGUGUGUGUAGUACUAAUAUGUCUGCAGUCUUACACUUGUAUGAAGGUAACUGUUGAUUGUGUGAAUGGGUCAAAUUAUCCACGCAGUGUCCUCAUGCUAUGACUCAAAUAUUUAUAAACAUAGGUAUCUUUAUAUAUAAAGAUAAGAGAAAAUAGUUAUAUGAAUAGUUCAUAGUAUAAUACAUUUGCCAUUAUGUUAUAAGUUAUCAAUUGUUAGGGUCAUAGAUUCCCUUGGCUAUAGUGCUGUAUGUGGUAACAUUAUUCAUUUUGGUGUGUUUUAGCCCCUUAUGAAAACCAAUAUAUAUAUACAUACAGUAUUUGUCUAAACUUAGCAGUUAACAUUAAACAGUAGGUCCUUGAAUGUGAUAUCCUAUCCUAAUAGGUGAAGAAGUGUAAGAUACGGGCAUGUCCCGGUCUGUGGCACCCCCUGACUGCCUGUCUCAGCCAGGUUAAGCACAAGGGACUCAUUCUUGAUGUUUGUUCUUUACCUAUAAUUCCUUAAUGUUCUAUAUUUUGACCUAAAAAGAGCAUCUGUGGGGGACCAAAAUAGUAAACUACAUGAAGACAUGGUGCUUUAGUUAAUUUAUUUACACAUUUACAUGUUAGAGAGGGUGAGGAAAAGUUUCAGAAAUGGCCUGUUAUUUAAUUUUACAUGUCAUUUAAUACAUGUGUUGAAUCUCUUAUAA